rnacentral:lncRNA from 1 species
CGGCGGCGGCGGCUGGCAACCAAGCGGCGGCGGCGGCUGGCAGUGAUGGGUGACGCCACAAACCACAAGCGUAUGAAGCGAAAACAAAGUGGAGCCUCGACGGAAUCACGGCUCGGCGGCGUUUCACCACAUCUAGUCGCCGCACCACCCUUUCGACCACACUGGACUUGUAAAUGCUGUACAGAGCGGGCCUCUAUCUGUCCGUGUUGUUGCAAUAAACUGUUACAAAAUA